rnacentral:rRNA from 1 species
AGAGUUUGAUCAUGGCUCAGGAUGAACGCUAGCGGCAGGCCUAAUACAUGCAAGUCGAGGGGCAGCAUGAUCUUCGGAUUGAUGGCGACCGGCGCACGGGUGCGUAACGCGUAUGCAACCUACCUACCACUGGGGGAUAGCCCGGGGAAACCCGGAUUAAUACCCCAUUGUAUUAUUUGAUGGCAUCUGAGGAUAAUUAAAGAUUUAUCGGUGGUAGAUGGGCAUGCGUCUGAUUAGCUUGUUGGCGGGGUAACGGCCCACCAAGGCAAUGAUCAGUAGGGGGUCUGAGAGGAUGAUCCCCCACACUGGAACUGAGACACGGUCCAGACUCCUACGGGAGGCAGCAGUAGGGAAUAUUGGUCAAUGGGCGAGAGCCUGAACCAGCCAUGCCGCGUGCAGGAUGACGGCCUUCUGGGUUGUAAACUGCUUUUCUACAGGAAGAAAAUGCCCCUGCGGGGGAAAUUGCCGGUAUUGUAGGAAUAAGCACCGGCUAACUCCGUGCCAGCAGCCGCGGUAAUACGGAGGGUGCAAGCGUUGUCCGGAUUUAUUGGGUUUAAAGGGUGCGUAGGCGGAAGAUUAAGUCAGUGGUGAAAGCCCACAGCUCAACUGUGGAACUGCCAUUGAUACUGGUUUUCUUGAAUUCAGUUAAGGUAGGCGGAAUUGAUGGUGUAGCGGUGAAAUGCAUAGAUACCAUCAGGAACACCGAUUGCGAAGGCAGCUUACUGGGCUUGAAUUGACGCUGAGGCACGAAAGCGUGGGGAGCGAACAGGAUUAGAUACCCUAGUAGUCC